rnacentral:rRNA from 1 species
GACGAACGCUGGCGGUGUGCCUAACACAUGCAAGUCGAACGGAAAGGCCCUGCUUUCGUGGUGUUCCCGAGUGGCGAACGGGGGAGUAACACGUGAGCAACCUGCUCUAGUCUUUGGGAUAAGUUAAGGAAACUGGGGUUAAUAUCGGACCGGAUCCCCCGUACCAUGGAGGGGGUUGGAAAGUCUCGGCGGUCGGGGUUGGAUUGGCGGCUUACGAGCUUGCUGGUUGGGUAGUGGCUUACCAAGGCAUUGACGGAUCGCCGGCCUGUGAGGGUGGACGGCCACAAUAGGACUAAGGUAGGGACCAGUCUCCAACAGGGGGCAACAGUGGGAAGUAUUACACAGUGAGCGGGAGCCUGAUGCGGCGACGCCGCGUGCGGAAUGACGGCCUUCGGGUUGUGAACCGCUUUCGCCUGUGACGAAGCGUGAGUGACGGUAAUGAGUGAAGAAGCACCGGCUAACUACGUG